rnacentral:rRNA from 1 species
AUUGUUUAAGAGCCGCGGUAUUUUGACCGUGCAAAGGUAGCAUAAUCAUUAGCUUUUUGAUUGAAAGCUUGUAUGAAUGGUCGGACAAAGGAAAAGCUGUCUUUACUGUAAAAUUAGAAAUUAACCUCUAAGUGAAAAGGCUUAGAUUCUUUAGGGGGACGAUAAGACCCUAUAAAGCUUUACAUAUAAGUAGAGUUUACUUAAUUAAAAAGUAAAAGUUUAAUCUAAUUAAUGUGUUUUGUUGGGGCGACAUAAAUAUAAUUUAUAUUAACUGUUUAUAAAUUAAUACAAUAAUAAAUGAUUUUAAUGUAGUUGAUCCUUAUUAAAGAUUAAAAGACUAAGUUACUUUAGGGAUAACAGCGUUAUUUCUUUUGAGAGCUCCUAUCGAAAAAGAAGUUUGCGACCUCGAUGUUGAAUUAAAAUAUCUAAAUAAUGCAGCAGUUA